CCCUUGUGGAGGAGGACGCCGAAGGUGGGGCUAAUGACUGGGGUGAAGUCGUAACAAGGUAGCCGUACCGGAAGGUGCGGCUGGAUCACCUCCUAACAGGGAGACAACAAAAUGUUUAAUAUUAUUAUUUUGUCACCUUAGGUCGAUCGGUAUCUCACGUUCUUAAUUUACUAAGAAUUUCAUUUCCUAAGUUUUUCUAGGUCACACCCAUUUUUUUCCUGGGCCAUUAGCUCAGGUGGUUAGAGCGCACCCCUGAUAAGGGUGAGGUCCCUGGUUCAAGUCCAGGAUGGCCCAUAUCUCUAUGUUGGGGGUAUAGCUCAGUUGGUAGAGCGCCUGCUUUGCAAGCAGGAUGUCAGCGGUUCGAGUCCGCUUACCUCCACUGAUUACCACCUCUUCCAUAAUUUAUAGAAAGGAAAAAAUUUUGAGUUGUGAUCAUAGUUCUGAACGAAUCUAGCUUCCUAAUGAAAUCAUUAAGAUGCUGGACUCAUUGAAUUAAUUUCAUUGUUUUCAGAGAACCUUGACAACUGCAUAGAUUAUUUUUAAAGACAAUAAGCAUCUUUAAUGAUGCAGAUUUAUUAUUUGUGCAAAUGCAUUAAUAACAAUUCUAUUAAGCUGAUGCUUCAAUUUUGAAGUUAUUGGUCAAGCUACAAAGGGCUCACGGAGGAUACCUAGGC
rnacentral:misc_RNA from 1 species